rnacentral:rRNA from 1 species
UACGUAGGGUGCGAGCGUUAAUCGGAAUUACUGGGCGUAAAGCGUGCGCAGGCGGUGAUGUAAGACCGAUGUGAAAUCCCCGGGCUAACCUGGGAACUGCAUUGGUGACUGCAUCGCUCGAGUAUGGCAGAGGGGGGUAGAAUUCCACGUGUAGCAGUGAAAUGCGUAGAGAUGUGGAGGAAUACCGAUGGCGAAGGCAGCCCCUGGGUCAAUACUGACGCUCAUGCACGAAAGCGUGGGGGAGCAAACAGG